AGAGUUUGAUCCUGGCUCAGGAUGAACGCUGGCGGCGUGCCUAACACAUGCAAGUCGAACGAAGCAACCAAGAGGAAGUUUUCGGAUGGAUUUUUAGUUGACUGAGUGGCGGACGGGUGAGUAACGCGUGGGUAACCUGCCUCAUACAGGGGGAUAACAGUUAGAAAUGACUGCUAAUACCGCAUAAGCGCACGAUACCGCAUGGUAUUGUGUGAAAAACUCCGGUGGUAUGAGAUGGACCCGCGUCUGAUUAGCUAGUUGGCGGGGUAACGGCCCACCAAGGCGACGAUCAGUAGCCGACCUGAGAGGGUGACCGGCCACAUUGGGACUGAGACACGGCCCAA
rnacentral:rRNA from 1 species